rnacentral:rRNA from 1 species
CACGUAGGGGACGAGCGUUGUCCGGAUUCAUUGGGCGUAAAGCGCGCGUAGGCGGCCCGGAAAGUCGGAUGUGAAAUCCCCAGGCUCAACUUGGGAACUGCAUCCGAUACUGGAUGGCUUGAAUUCCGGGAGAGGGAUGCAGAAUUCCAGGUGUAGCGGUGAAAUGCGUAGAUAUCUGGAGGAAUACCGGUGGCGAAGGCGGCAUCCUGGACCGAUGUACGCUGA